UCCCUGAUAGCUCAGUUGGUAAAGAAUCUGCCUGAAAUGCAGGAGACCCCAAUGCAAUUUCUGGGUCAGGAAG
rnacentral:tRNA from 1 species